CCUACGGGAGGCAGCAGUGGGGAAUAUUGCACAAUGGGGGAAACCCUGAUGCAGCGACGCCGCGUGAGCGAAGAAGUAUUUCGGUAUGUAAAGCUCUAUCAGCAGGGAAGAAAAUGACGGUACCUGAGUAAGAAGCUCCGGCUAAAUACGUGCCAGCAGCCGCGGUAAUACGUAGGGAGCAAGCGUUAUCCGGAUUUACGGGGUGUAAAGGGAGCGCAGGCGGCCUUGCAAGUCUGAUGUGAAAUACCGGGGCUCAACCCCGGAGCUGCAUUGGAAACUGUGAGGCUGGAGUGUCGGAGAGGCAGGCGGAAUUCGUAGUGUAGCGGUGAAAUGCGUAGAUAUUAGGAGGAACACCAGUGGCGAAGGCGGCCUGCUGGACGAUGACUGACGCUGAGGCACGAAAGCGUGGGUAUCGAACAGGAUUAGAUACCCCUGUAGUC
rnacentral:rRNA from 1 species